UACAGAGGGGGCAAGCGUUGUUCGGAAUUACUGGGCGGAAAGGGCGCGUAGGUGGCCUUCUAAGUUGAACGUGAAAUCCCUGGGCUCAACCCAGGAACUGCGUCCAAGACUGGGAGGCUUGAAUCCGGGAGAGGGAUGCGGAAUUCCAGGUGUAGCGGUGAAAUGCGUAGAUAUCUGGAGGAACACCGGUGGCGAAGGCGGCAUCCUGGACCGGGAUUGACACUGAGGCGCGAAAGCCAGGGGAGCAAACGGG
rnacentral:rRNA from 1 species